CCCCUAGAUGUCCUGGGCCGCACGCGCGCUACACUGAACAGUUCAACAAGUCUUAACCUUGGCCGAUAGGUCUGGGUAAUCUUUGAACGCUGUUCGUGAUUGGGAUAGACCUUUGCAAUUAUGGGUCUUCAACGAGGAAUUCCUAGUAAACGCAAGUCAUCAGCUUGCAUUGAUUACGUCCCUGCCCUUUGUACACACCGCCCGUCGCACCUACCGAUUGAAUGGUCCGGUGAAAUCUCGGGACGGCGGCUUGGUCGCUUGCGUCCGACUGCUGAAACUUGAUUAAACCAUAUCAUUUAGAGGAAGGUGAAGUCGUANCA
rnacentral:rRNA from 1 species